rnacentral:rRNA from 1 species
AAGUGGGAAACGAUGUGGGAAGGCCCAGACAGCCAGGAUGUUGGCUUAGAAGCAGCCAUCAUUUAAAGAAAGCGUAAUAGCUCACUGGUCGAGUCGGCCUGCGCGGAAGAUGUAACGGGGCUAAACCAUGCACCGAAGCUGCGGCAGCGACGCUGAUGCGUUGUUGGGUAGGGGAGCGUUCUGUAAGCCUGUGAAGGUGGCCUGUGAGGGUUGCUGGAGGUAUCAGAAGUGCGAAUGCUGACAUAAGUAACGAUAAAGCGGGUGAAAAGCCCGCUCGCCGGAAGACCAAGGGUUCCUGUCCAACGUUAAUCGGGGCAGGGUGAGUCGACCCCUAAGGCGAGGCCGAAAGGCGUAGUCGAUGGGAAACGGGUUAAUAUUCCCGUACUUGGUGUUACUGCGAAGGGGGGACGGAGAAGGCUAUGUUGGCCGGGCGACGGUUGUCCCGGUUUAAGCGUGUAGGUGUGUGUUCCAGGUAAAUCCGGUUCACUUUAACACUGAGGCGUGAUGACGAGGCACUACGGUGCUGAAGCAACAAAUGCCCUGCUUCCAGGAAAAGCCUCUAAGCAUCAGGUAACAUCAAAUCGUACCCCAAACCGACACAGGUGGUCAGGUAGAGAAUACCAAGGCGCUUGAGAGAACUCGGGUGAAGGAACUAGGCAAAAUGGUGCCGUAACUUCGGGAGAAGGCACGCUGACAC